rnacentral:tRNA from 1 species
GGCUGGUUAGCUCAGUUGGUUAGAGCACAGUGCUGAUAACACCAAGGUCGCGGGUUCAAUCCCCGUUUGGUCCC